GUGAGGAAUAUUGGGCAAUGGAUGCAAGUCUGACCCAGCCAUCCCGCGUGCCGGAAGAAGGCCCUCAGGGUUGUAAACGGCUUUUGACGGUGAAGAAUCGACAGGAUGCGUCCUGUUUUGACGGUAGCCGUUGAAUAAGCACCGGCUAACUCCGUGCCAGCAGCCGCGGUAAUACGGAGGGUGCGAGCGUUGUCCGGAUUUAUUGGGUUUAAAGGGUGCGUAGGCUGGAAGGUCAGUCAGCGGUGAAAAGCUAUCGCUUAACGAUAGUCUUGCCGCAGAUACUUCCUUUCUUGGAUGAGGAGGAGGCCACUGGAACGGAUGGUGUAGCGGUGAAAUGCAUAGAUAUCAUCCAGAACACCGAUUGCGAAGGCAGGUGGCUGUACCUUAAUCGACGCUGAUGCACGAAAGCAUGGGGAGCAAACAGGAUUAGAAACCCGGGUAGUCC
rnacentral:rRNA from 1 species